CCCCAGUCCAACCCAAUUCCUGAUCUCUCUUGAACCUCCUCCGCUUACCGUUGUUGCCCUCCUCCCUACAUUCGCUCUCGCUGUCUCCUUCGGGCCACCGCCGCGCCGGUCUUGUCCAAAAUGCCCACCCAUCUCUAAGAUCAUCCACCGCCCACUCUCCCCGCAAAUCCGAAAAGGGAAUCAAAAACCCUCUUGGGAGGAGCCGAGAGGGAGAGGGGGUAGGGGAAGCAGAGCAGGAGAGGGAGAAGGAUGGUGUUCAAGGGGCGGUUCUUCUCCUCGAAGAAGUCGGAUUCGUCGAGUCCCGACGGAUCCAAUAGCCCGAAGACGCCGACCCUCGCGUCUCCAAACAGAUCCGAGAAGAAGAAGGUCAAAUCGGACCCCGCCGUUGGCCGCCACACCCUCAUCAAAGACGCCGUCAAGCAGCACCAGCAGAAGAAGAAGGAGGACAAGAAGGACAAGGAGCGGGACUCCAAGGGCAAGCAGACCGCCGCCUCCGCCUCCUCCAAGGCCUCCCCUCCGGCAGCCGACCUCUCCGCCCCGGCCAAGAUCCGGAGCGGGGCGGCGGCCAAGGACGGAGGGGUGGCGGCGGCGUCAGCGCUCUCCCCGAUCCUUGCCUCCUCGCUCGGGCUGAACCGGAUCAAGACGAGAUCCGGCCCGUUGCCACAGGAGGGCUUCCGCGGGGACCACAGGAUCUCGGGCCUUGGCUGUAGCAACCUCUCCAGGGGUCCCGUGGAGGGGAGCUGCUCUACUUCGUCGUCGGCUGGGAAGGGGGCCAGUGGCAGCACAAAGAAGGAGGGGAGGGGCCUCGAGAAGGUUCCCGAGUCGUGCGCUACUUCUUGGGCUGAUCAUGGAGGGAGCCGAGGCAAGGGGUGGUCAGCGGCGAGCUCGGAUGCUCGGCUUGGGAGCCAGAUUUGCAAUGGCGAGCAUACCAAUGUUCAAUUUGGGAAAACUAACUCAUCAUGGAAUCAUCCUGAAGAUUUUAAAAAUUCUGCUGCUUUCACUCCAGAAGCUGAGUCUCCAUAUGAUGCUUGUGAAACUCCAAAAGAGUCUGAGUCUCCCCGCUUUAAAGCCAUAAUGCAGGCUACUAGUGCACCUAGGAAGAGGUUCCCUGCUGACAUAAAAAGUUUUUCACAUGAGUUGAACUCCAAAGGAGUACGACCAUUUCCAUUUUGGAAGCCACGAAGCAUCUACAAUUUGAAGGAGGUGUUAAAAGUCAUUCAGGUGAAAUUUGAGAAAGCAAAGGAAGAGGUAAACUCUGAUCUGGCAAUUUUUGCAGGGGAUUUGGUUGGUAUAAUGGAAAAAAAUGCAGAAAGCCAUCCUGAAUGGAAUGUAACCUUGGAGGAUUUGUUGCUACUUGCUCGGAGCUGUUGUGUCAUGACGCCUGGGGAGUUCUGGCUUCAGUGUGAAGGCAUAGUUCAGGAUUUGGAUGAUCGGCGUCAAGAGCUUCCUAUGGGAGUUCUGAAGAAACUUCAUACGCGUAUGCUUUUUAUACUUACUCGAUGCACAAGAUUGCUUCAAUUCCACAAGGAAACUGGCUUUCCUGAGGAUGAAAUUGCGAUGAACCUUCAAGAUCCUAAAGUCAUACAUUCUGCUGAGAAAAAAGUUACAUUAGGAAGGGAUGGAAAAAGCAAGAGGAACUCUGCUGAGGCACCUGCUUCAAGGAAGUCUUAUAGUCAGGAGCAGCAUAAUGUAAAAUGGAAAAGAAGCCAAGAAAUAAAGCCUGGCAAAUUUUUUUCACCAUUUAAUGCUGAUACUGAAAAGGAAAUGGUUUCGCCUGCUAGCAGAGAACGUUUUGCUUCUUGGAAACCUCUGCCAUCUCCUGCAGGAAAAGUCCAGAAAGAAGCUAGCCCCAUUAAAGAUGAUGCAUCCAUCAGAAAAAUGGAUUCUUCAGAGAUAUUGAACAAGAGACAAAGUUCAGAUGCAGACUUGACCACAACAAAUCCUCCUGAAUUACCCAGUUCCAGUGAUUCUUCUGUGCACCCAUCAGUUACUUCCAAACAUCAACACAAAGUUUCUUGGGGUUACUGGACAGAUCAGCAGAAUAUUACCGAAGAGGGUUCAAUUAUGUGUCGAAUUUGUGAGGAGUAUGUUCCUACUUUGUUUGUGGAGGAUCACUCCAAGAUUUGCGCAAUUGCAGAUAGGUGCGAUCAAAAAGGUUUGAGUGUUGAUGAACGUCUCAACAGAAUUGCUGAGACUCUAGAGAAGAUGAUAGAGUCGUACUCACAGAAGGAUCCCCCAAAUGCAGUUGGAAGCCCAGAUGUGACAAAAGUUUCUAAUUCAAGUGCCACUGAAGAAUCUGAUCUCCUUUCUCCAAAAUUUAGUGAUUGGUCUCGGAGAGGGUCGGCUGAUAUGCUUGAUUGUUUCCCGGAGGCUGACAACUCUAUUUUCUUGGACGACCUGAAGAAUUUGCCAUCAAUGACAUGUAAGACACGUUUUGGUCCAAAGUCUGACCAAGGAAUGGCGACUUCAUCAGCAGGAAGCAUGACUCCUCGAUCUCCUUUGAUGACACCAAGAGCCAGUCACAUAGACAUGCUUUUGGCAGGGAAAAAUGCACUUUCUGAGAGUGAAGAUCUUCCACAGAUAGUUGAACUUGCUGAUAUUGCUCGAUGCAUAGCGAAUACUCCAAUGGAUGAAGAGCAAUCCUUGUCGUAUUUGGUUUCCUGUGUAGAAGAUCUACAAGAAGUCAUGAGCCGUCGGAAGUUUGAGGCACUUACAGUGCAGACAUUUGGCACACGCAUAGAGAAGCUUCACCGGGAGAAGUACUUGCAGCUUUGUGAUGCAAUUGAUACUGAAAAGGUUGAUGCAUCAAGUACUGUAAUGGAUGAAGAAGAGGAUGUGGUUCGUAGCUUGCGAGCAAGCCCUGUUCACCCUACCAUCAAGGAUCGAACAUCUAUUGAUGACUUCGAAAUUAUAAAACCUAUAAGUCGUGGAGCAUUUGGUCGGGUUUUCUUAUCCAAGAAAAGAACAACAGGGGAUCUCUUUGCAAUAAAGGUUCUAAAAAAAGCAGAUAUGAUUCGCAAAAAUGCUGUUGAGAGCAUAUUAGCUGAACGUGAUAUCCUAAUCAGUGUCCGGAAUCCUUUCGUGGUACGUUUUUUUUAUUCUUUCACAUCCCGAGAGAAUUUAUAUCUUGUGAUGGAGUAUUUGAAUGGAGGGGACUUGUAUUCAUUGCUGAGAAAUUUAGGUUGCUUGGAUGAAGAAGUCGCCCGCAUAUAUAUUGCAGAAGUUGUCCUUGCAUUGGAAUACCUACAUUCCUUGCGUGUGGUGCAUCGGGAUUUGAAGCCGGACAAUUUGUUGAUUGCUCAUGAUGGUCAUAUUAAGUUGACAGAUUUUGGACUUUCAAAGGUUGGCCUUAUCAACAGUACAGACGAUCUUUCCGGUCCUGCUGUCAGUGGGACAUCAUUAUAUGGAGAAGAUGAACCUCAGGUAUCUCCAUCCGACCACUUGAAUCAGCGAGAACGACGAAAGAAACGCUCUGCUGUCGGUACACCUGAUUAUUUGGCACCAGAGAUCCUCUUAGGAACAGCACAUGGUGCAAGCGCAGAUUGGUGGUCUGUUGGUGUUAUUCUUUUUGAGCUUAUUGUUGGAAUCCCACCGUUCAAUGCAGAACAUCCUCAGACAAUCUUUGACAAUAUUCUGAAUCGUAAGAUACCUUGGCCCCGAGUACCUGAAGAGAUGAGUUUUGAAGCCCAAGAUCUAAUUGACAAAUUGUUGACUGAAGAUCCUCACCAAAGACUUGGAGCCAAAGGCGCAUCAGAGGUGAAGCAACAUGUAUUUUUUAAAAAUAUUAACUGGGACACUCUCGCCAGGCAGAAGGCUGCAUUUGUUCCCUCAUCAGAUAGUGCACUUGAUACUAGCUACUUCACUAGCCGGUACUCCUGGAAUCCAUCAGAUGAAAACAUAUAUGAAGCCAGCGAGUUUGAGGAUUCCAGUGACAAUGGAAGCAUAAGUGGAAGCAGUAGUUGUGUAAGCAAUCGUCAUGAUGAACUGCAGGGGGAUGAGUGUGGAGGUCUUACUGAGUUUGAAUCUGGCUCAUCCGUUAAUUAUUCAUUCAGUAACUUUUCAUUCAAGAAUCUGUCGCAGCUUGCGUCAAUCAACUAUGAUUUGCUCAGCAAGGGUUGGAAGGAAGAUCAACCAUCAAAAUCUGAUACUUGAGUUUCCCUUCUGUUUUCAAGUUUGCAUUUCACAUGUGAGCCAAACGCUUAGAAAUCUUGGUGAUCUCAUUGUACAGCUUGUAAAUAUAUAGGAUCUCGAGGCUGGGACUCCAGGGAUGUGCUUUUCCUCAUACAGGCUACCGCUCCUUUGUCUGGAGCUGCCUACGUUUUUAGCAGAGCCAUUUGAUUUUUCUUUAUUCCCUAUGGUAAAUUCUGCCAUCAGAUGGCUUUGACCAUUGGUCCUUUGCCAUCCAUGGAACAUACAUCUUUACAGGGGGAUGCGGAUCAGAUUUCUUUUUUUACUCAUCAGUGCCCCCUGAAAAUAGUUGAUAUUAUUUUCCCUCCUGGACUUAAUUUAACUGUUCUCUGUUUGUGAGAGAACGAGAGCUCACGUGGCAAAGGAACAUGAUUCAUGAACUUUGAUCAUAGGUCCUUGGCGUACAGUUUGAUAUCGAGCAAAUGGACGGAUCGCAUACCCUUUUUAUUUAUAAAUUCUCAUUUUUAUGCC